AUUAGUGAGAGCAGAUGUGGGAAGGGAGUGAGUGGUUCACAGGUCUGCCCAGGGGGUGCACAUGCACUACUAGCCUGGCAGAUCAGCACGUGGUCUGGAUGGUGGCAAAGGCAUACAGGGACCAGCGCUUCUUCAGGUGUCUGUCCUCACAACACUUCUAAAUCUCGGAGCUCUUCCCCCAGACUGUGAGCCCUGCUGAGGUCUCAGCACCGGGUAAUGAAUGGGUCUGUCUUGCCAAACAGGAUUUGAAUUCUUACAGAGGUUUCCCAGGGAUGGCCACUGUCCAGGGAAAGGUGUCUUUGGGGGAGUCACAGUGAGGCUGGCUGCUCUACAUGGUUAAGGGAGAGCUAGGCACUGCUGAAGGUAACUCUUUUAGUACAGUGCAUCUGGGAGGGCAGGGAGCGAGCAAACCAUUCCUUCCUCAAGGCUUUUCUCUGGAUAUUUUUCCCCUGCUCUGAGACAGGGUUUCUCUGUGUAGACCAGGAUGGCCUGGAAUUCAGAGAUCCUCCUGCCACGGCCUCUGCAGUACUGGGAAUAAAGGAGUUAAAGCCGCUAGUCAUCAUUCCGAAUCCAUGAACCCAGCACUCUGCCCUCUCUGCCCACCUUAAAGGACUAAUCUCAAAUGGAGACAGAUGGCACAAGAGGGAUGUGUACACUAGAGAGAUCUCAGAAGGCCUGCCUACCUUCCCAAGGUAUCUCUCCGGGCCUAUCACAGUCCUGAAAUGCCUGCUGGGAGCACCACUCACUUUUCCCCCAAAGGUCUUCAUCACCAAGUCAGUUCUGAAUAUGAAGAAAUAAAGACUCUGGAUUCAAGAGAUUUGGCCAUGAUCAUGAUUAGCCCCUGGUAAAGUUAGGGCUGAGCCCAGGACCCCAGGUUAGCUCCUCCCAAUGCCAUUGCACUGACAGGAAGAAAGGACUGAUGCUUACAUAGCCGAAGUGCAGAAUGUGGCUCUGAGUAAGAGGAGGAAGGAAUUCCAGGAGUUUCUUCUUCCUCCUCUUCUCUCUCACUCCCUCUGGUCUACUUUUUCAGUCAGUUUUACUUUCAACCAGCAAGCGUUUGCUGACAACUGACUCACAGUAGGCCCCCUUGCAGCCCCGACAUUAUUUUAAGGUGUGGUCAUAUCUUUAAGGAGCCUUUGUUUUGGUUAAAGACAUGAAGCCAUUCAUAAAAGAACCAGAUACCUCAUCACCAGCGCAGUACAUUCCUACAUUGCAGUAGGAAGGAUGGGUGGGGGCUUGGGAGGGAGGCAAUUCUCAGGGACAGUGGUCUGUGGGUUGGGCCUAUAAGAAUGACAGGUGUCAGAGAGUAGUGAAAUAGGGGACUUGGGGCAUGGGGAGCCUGUUUACUGUCACUUUUAUUUGACUGAGCAUGAGACCUGUGACUAAGUCCUGGAGGAAUGUUAGGGUGUGCCAACAAAGGAGAGAAGGCUUGGCCAGGUGAAAGAGUCUCGGGAGCCAAGGGAGGAGCUGCUGGUCAGGAGAGGGCGGCCAUCCAGUUAAUGAUAUGACCAGACCUUAAUGGAGCCGUAAUUAGACUGCAUAAGAAGGAGUGGAGGAAUGCAGAGUCAUUCUGUGGGACUGUGGGGAUGCAGGCUAGACAUGCCUGUGGGGGUGUGGGGGUGCAGGCUAGACCUGGAAGUGACUAGGGAGUCCUGGCCAGCCGUAGUUUGUCAUCAAGGCAUUUGUGUCUGCAGCAGACGAGGGAAUGGUAGCCUGUGGGGCAGUAGGACCAGACUCCCUCAGUUAAAAUUUCAAGUGCAAUACAGAUUAAACGUAGACUUGUACUCCUUGGUUCGAUAUUCUCCAUGUUCCUUAAGAACUCACCAUCUACCUACUCUAAGUUCUAUAUCGGGAGUUGGGGGCAUAUCUCCUGAAGCUUUAAACACUGGAUCAAGAAGAAAAGGAAGGAUCACAAGUUCAAGGCCUGCUUGGGCAACUUAGAGAGCCUCACUCUCAAAAUAAGGAAAACACAGGAAGGAAGGAAGGAAGGAAGGAAGGAAGGAAGGAAGGAAGGAAGGAAGGAAGGAAGGACAGAGGGAGGAAAGACAGGGCUGAGAAUAUGGCUCAGCUGUAAGGCCAAGCUGACUUGUACCCCAGAAGAAUGAGGUGUAUGAAAUGCUAUUAAAAAUCUGCCUGCAGUUGAAUACUUAGACAAAAAAGAUUUUUAAAUAACAUUUAUUUUUAAUUUUUGUGUCUGCAUGUGCCAUGAGUAUGCUGCCUGUGUGCAGGGAGGUGCCCAGGGAGGUCAGAAGAGGGAACCAGGCUCCUUGGAGGCAGCUGUAGGUGGACCUGACUGGAUGCUGGGCCCUCCUCAACAACAACAGGCACUCCCAACCACCGACCCAUGUCCCCAGCCCAGAAAACAAUAAUGUUUUGAGUAUUAAUUCAGUGUUUAGUUUAGCUGUUGGCUCAUUUGAUUUAAUUUUAAGAAAAAUUAAUGUAAGAAGACAAAGAAUACAUGAAAGUGAUUGCCAGGACCACGGAAGAGA
rnacentral:sRNA from 1 species